rnacentral:rRNA from 1 species
AAAAGGCCGGUCUAGUAUAAGCAUUAUACCGUGAAACUGCGAAUGGCUCAUUAAAUCAGUUAUCGUUUAUUUGAUAGUACCUUACUACUUGGAUAACCGUGGUAAUUCUAGAGCUAAUACAUGCUGAAAACCCCAACUUCGGGAGGGGUGUAUUUAUUAGAUAAAAAACCAACGCCCUUCGGGGCUUCUUGGUGAUUCAUGAUAACUUCACGGAUCGCAUGGCCUUGCGCCGGCGACGGUUCAUUCAAAUUUCUGCCCUAUCAACUUUCGAUGGUAAGGUAUUGGCUUACCAUGGUUUCAACGGGUAACGGGGAAUUAGGGUUCGAUUCCGGAGAGGGAGCCUGAGAAACGGCUACCACAUCCAAGGAAGGCAGCAGGCGCGCAAAUUACCCAAUCCCGACACGGGGAGGUAGUGACAAUAAAUACUGAUACAGGGCUCUUUUGGGUCUUGUAAUUGGAAUGAGUACAAUUUAAACCUCUUAACGAGGAACAAUUGGAGGGCAAGUCUGGUGCCAGCAGCCGCGGUAAUUCCAGCUCCAAUAGCGUAUAUUAAAGUUGUUGCAGUUAAAAAGCUCGUAGUUGAAACUUGGGCCUGGCUGGCAGGUCCGCCUCACCGCGUGUACUUGUCCGGCCGGGCCUUUCCUUCUGGAGAACCUCAUGCCCUUCACUGGGUGUGUUGGGGAACCAGGACUUUUACUUUGAAAAAAUUAGAGUGUUCAAAGCAGGCCUUUGCUCGAAUACGUUAGCAUGGAAUAAUAGAAUAGGACGUGCGGUCCUAUUUUGUUGGUUUCUAGGACCGCCGUAAUGAUUAAUAGGGACAGUCGGGGGCAUCAGUAUUCAAUUGUCAGAGGUGAAAUUCUUGGAUUUAUUGAAGACUAACUACUGCGAAAGCAUUUGCCAAGGAUGUUUUCAUUAAUCAGUGAACGAAAGUUAGGGGAUCGAAGACGAUCAGAUACCGUCGUAGUCUUAACCGUAAACUAUGCCGACUAGGGAUCGGGCGAUGUUCUUUUUCUGACUCGCUCGGGACCUUACGAGAAAUCAAAGUUUUUUGGGUUCUGGGGGGGAGUAUGGUCGCAAGGUGAAAUUAGAAUAUAGUUGGUCGGAAAGAAAGAAAAAGGGGGGCCAUA